CAGCCGUAAACUAUGCGCGUUAGGUGUAUCGGUGACCACGAGUCACCGAGGUGCCGAAGGGAAACCGUGAAACGUGCCGCCUGGGAAGUACGGUCGCAAGGCUGAAACUUAAAGGAAUUGGCGGGGGAGCACCACAACAGGUGGAGCCUGCGGUUUAAUUGGACUCAACGCCGGGAAGCUCACCGGAUAAGACAGCAGAAUGAUUGCCGGGCUGAAGACUCUGCAUGACUAGCUGAGAGGAGGUGCAUGGCGUAGACGUCU
rnacentral:rRNA from 1 species